AAUCAAAGUGUCCCUGUGCCUCCACACAGUGCUAAAGCAAAGCUGUAAAGCUAAUGGAAUAUUGUAAUCUGCAGGAUGCUCUUUUGUUUCAGACAAAAAAAAAUGUCUCAUCCUAUAUGGUUUGGAAGCUUUAUAAGUGACCAUACCAACUAGAUAGAAAUGGAGCAACAUGGUCCCGUCUUACUGAGAGGAGAAAUCUCUACUGGAACACUCUUCCCUGCCAGCUUAAUACUCAGGACAAGGCAGAAGGAAUGCUUCUCACGAGCUUCACCAAGGGAGACGGGUGGCAAGCAUCUUUCAGGCGUUCCCAAGCUCGCCCCAAUUUGUGGAGACAGCUCUGGUACCAUGGCAUUUUCUGAUGACAACAACUCCCGAUGCAGCUGUACCAACGCUGCCGCUGAUAUAUCCAUUAAAAAGAGAAGCUUGUAAAAUCCAGAUUUGAAAUUCAAUAAGGAAUUCAGAGGAAAGUCUUGCUUUCAGGCCAUCUCCUGGCUAAAUGAAUAAAUGAAUAGGGAAACUAUUGCAUACAAAAAAAAAAUGUCAAAAGCUACCAAAGGAAGCUUUGCUCACUAAUGUUUCAAAAUAGCCCCGUCUGGAAAGGUAUGCUUUUAGACUAAGAAAGCAGAAAAAAACUAAUUAGACAAGAAGUAACCGUGAACAAACAUGUUAGCAGAACCAAUAACUGGAACUGAUCAGCUAUUUCUCUAAUUGU
rnacentral:lncRNA from 1 species